GGGUUGUGAGGUUAAGCGACUAAGCGUACACGGUGGAUGCCCUGGCAGUCAGAGGCGAUGAAGGACGUGCUAAUCUGCGAUAAGCGUCGGUAAGGUGAUAUGAACCGUUAUAACCGGCGAUUUCCGAAUGGGGAAACCCAGUGUGAUUCGUCACACUAUCAUUAACUGAAUCCAUAGGUUAAUGAGGCGAACCGGGGGAACUGAAACAUCUAAGUACCCCGAGGAAAAGAAAUCAACCGAGAUUCCCCCAGUAGCGGCGAGCGAACGGGGAGCAGCCCAGAGCCUGAAUCAGUGUGUGUGUUAGUGGAAGCGUCUGGAAAGGCGCGCGAUACAGGGUGACAGCCCCGUACACAAAAAUGCACAUGCUGUGAGCUCGAUGAGUAGGGCGGGACACGUGGUAUCCUGUCUGAAUAUGGGGGGACCAUCCUCCAAGGCUAAAUACUCCUGACUGACCGAUAGUGAACCAGUACCGUGAGGGAAAGGCGAAAAGAACCCCGGCGAGGGGAGUGAAAAAGAACCUGAAACCGUGUACGUACAAGCAGUGGGAGCACGCUUAGGCGUGUGACUGCGUACCUUUUGUAUAAUGGGUCAGCGACUUAUAUUCUGUAGCAAGGUUAACCGAAUAGGGGAGCCGAAGGGAAACCGAGUCUUAACUGGGCGUUAAGUUGCAGGGUAUAGACCCGAAACCCGGUGAUCUAGCCAUGGGCAGGUUGAAGGUUGGGUAACACUAACUGGAGGACCGAACCGACUAAUGUUGAAAAAUUAGCGGAUGACUUGUGGCUGGGGGUGAAAGGCCAAUCAAACCGGGAGAUAGCUGGUUCUCCCCGAAAGCUAUUUAGGUAGCGCCUCGUGAAUUCAUCUCCGGGGGUAGAGCACUGUUUCGGCAAGGGGGUCAUCCCGACUUACCAACCCGAUGCAAACUGCGAAUACCGGAGAAUGUUAUCACGGGAGACACACGGCGGGUGCUAACGUCCGUCGUGAAGAGGGAAACAACCCAGACCGCCAGCUAAGGUCCCAAAGUCAUGGUUAAGUGGGAAACGAUGUGGGAAGGCCCAGACAGCCAGGAUGUUGGCUUAGAAGCAGCCAUCAUUUAAAGAAAGCGUAAUAGCUCACUGGUCGAGUCGGCCUGCGCGGAAGAUGUAACGGGGCUAAACCAUGCACCGAAGCUGCGGCAGCGACGCUUAUGCGUUGUUGGGUAGGGGAGCGUUCUGUAAGCCUGCGAAGGUGUGCUGUGAGGCAUGCUGGAGGUAUCAGAAGUGCGAAUGCUGACAUAAGUAACGAUAAAGCGGGUGAAAAGCCCGCUCGCCGGAAGACCAAGGGUUCCUGUCCAACGUUAAUCGGGGCAGGGUGAGUCGACCCCUAAGGCGAGGCCGAAAGGCGUAGUCGAUGGGAAACAGGUUAAUAUUCCUGUACUUGGUGUUACUGCGAAGGGGGGACGGAGAAGGCUAUGUUGGCCGGGCGACGGUUGUCCCGGUUUAAGCGUGUAGGCUGGUUUUCCAGGCAAAUCCGGAAAAUCAAGGCUGAGGCGUGAUGACGAGGCACUACGGUGCUGAAGCAACAAAUGCCCUGCUUCCAGGAAAAGCCUCUAAGCAUCAGGUAACAUCAAAUCGUACCCCAAACCGACACAGGUGGUCAGGUAGAGAAUACCAAGGCGCUUGAGAGAACUCGGGUGAAGGAACUAGGCAAAAUGGUGCCGUAACUUCGGGAGAAGGCACGCUGAUAUGUAGGUGAAGUCCCUCGCGGAUGGAGCUGAAAUCAGUCGAAGAUACCAGCUGGCUGCAACUGUUUAUUAAAAACACAGCACUGUGCAAACACGAAAGUGGACGUAUACGGUGUGACGCCUGCCCGGUGCCGGAAGGUUAAUUGAUGGGGU
rnacentral:rRNA from 1 species